UACGUAGGCAGCAAGCGUUGUUCGGAGUUACUGGGCGUAAAGAGUGUGUAGGCGGUUCUCUAAGUUCCGUGUGAAAUCUCCCGGCUCAACUGGGAGGGUGCGCGGAAAACUGGAGGGCUGGAGUAUGGGAGAGGAAAGCGGAAUUCCUGGUGUAGCGGUGGAAAUGACGUAGAUAUCAGGAGGGAACACCUGCGGUGUAGACGGCUUUCUGGACCAUCACUGACGCUGAGACACGAAAGCGUGGGGAGCAAACAGG
rnacentral:rRNA from 1 species